AGCUCAAUCGUUUUCUAUAGACUCAGUCCCAAAAUCCUCUACCCUCAAAACCUUCGUCUUACUACCUUACAAGUUGCAUCAUUAAACAUGGAAGACGCAGGUUCCAUUUAGUUAGUCAUGGGGAUGUUCUCCAUGGUUUUUAGUUUUGGUUUAGUUCUCAGAUCAACCAGGAUUGCAAAACUCAAAUUAGUUCUCAGAUCUAUCGGUAUUGCAAAACUCAAAUUACGGAUUAUGCCAUGGAGUUACUGAUUUUGACCUAAUUGCUAGGGGCCUGAUUGCAUCCUCCCACAUCAAUGUUCCAUCACGAUAUAUUGCCGCUUUGUUUCAGGUUCUGUAGCAGCUGAAUGGAGGUAAUCAUUAAAAGCUAAUGUAUUGGAAUUUUAAUCUGCAACAAAUCAAGUUGGAGGUAAUUCUGCUGAUACAAUCACCAUCUUCAUCCCAAUCUAAUAGAGGUAGUUAUUCCCCCUUUCUAUUGUCAAGUUGAUAAAAUAGUGAUAGGUAAAUCUUAUACGUACUUGAAAUGGUUAGCUUAGAUUACACUUUUGUAGUUGGGAUGUAUUGAUAAUCAUCAGAGUUGUCCUUACACAGGGGGGAGGAUUCCUCCGCAAAAAUCCUCUUUUAUCACAUAUGAAGGCCUAAACUUCAAAACGUAUCUCACCGGUAAAACAUUUUACACAUAAACUAUAUUUGAUGUAACAUUGAUAUCGUAACCUAGGGUGGCAAUCACUUAUCAUUAGAAAUUUUGGACUGCAAAUGUCGUGAACAUGUUGAAAACCGUAACCAACAUUCGAAUAGAUGCAUGAACUCACCAUUGAGAAUCUUAGGUUUGUGUUCUUUGCACUUCUUUGUUUUAUUACUCAUGCCAUAGUAUGAACAUGCAAAUAGUCCCUAACCACACAACAAUUUCUGUAGGGGUAAGAAACUGAAUAUUAUCAUCUAGGUCUCUUUUGCACACCAGGUGGGAAAUUUUCCAAUUAGUUCAAACUCCAACCAGCAACCCCGGUCCUUCUGAGGUUGUUGUUUGCUCCACUUUUAUGAAGAGAUACCAAGGUUACGCUCUCUGUUGGUUACUCUCUUCGCAUAUAACUUUUGAUUUCUAUUUAAGUACUUCUCGAGACCACUGUAAGUAGCUUUUGAUGGGGCUUACACAGGAAAAUGCACCCUCUCUUCCACUAAUGCCACCAGAGUGUACACGAAUAUUGACAUACCAAAAGGUAUAGUGCUUCAAGCAAAGUAAAUUUUAUCCGCUUUAUCUUAUAGAUAGUGGAGUUCAAUGACAUUAGUACAUAUCCAACAGUCUUGAGUUAAUUUGCAUAUGCAAGUAUUUUAUCGAUUUGAUCCCAAAAAAAUGAGUACUUCAGUAUAUUAAGUUUGACCUUUUGAUUCACUUUUUACUGUUUCCAUUGUAAGAUGUAACAAAAGUCCAAAAAGGAUUAGACCGUUUUAGUCCUACUACCUCAUUUGGUUACUCUUCAACUUCCUUUAAAUCCUCUGUCAUUGUCCGAUAGUUCUGCCAUUGUAGAGGCUACUGUUUCUGUUCCUCCAAACAUUAAACAUCCCUUGCUUCAAAACUAAAAUAAAAUUACAUCUCGCGUAAAUAAAAAUAUUAUUCCAUCAAACUUAUUUUUGGUAUAAGUAGAUCAUAAGCUACUGUGAUUUUUUUUUUUUGCUACGUCCUUCCCACGAUAAGCCUUUGAUAUUACCUCGAUUGAGAAAUAUAGAGGCCUUAAUAUUAUGUGUUAAGAGCGUUAAAAAAGUCUGCUCUUUAUACAAAUUCUAUCUCAUCCAAGAUUCAUUUCAAUGUGUAUAAGACUUUACAAAGUCUGCUCUUUGUAUCAUUUACUUUUGUUGCGAUGUUUGCAGGUGCUUGGAUGGCAGGACCCUGUCAUAUUAUUGUUGCGAGCAAAAAGGGAAAGCACCCAUUGAAAUUCUGGAUGCUGAUAACAACACAGUAUCCCAAUUACUUCCUACCAAAUAGGGCCCGCCUCCACCAAAAAUAGUACCAUGCAUGCAUUCCAACUAGGCACACUUUGAUUUACCCAGGUUAUCAUGGAUUGAACUGUAAUUUUAUCCAUGUAUAUAGCCUGCCAAUGUGUUGUGCUAAAAAUGCUCUAAUGGAGACUGGUUGGUAAUAUCUUGAUUGUCGUGGGUGUAGCAAGAAAGUUGUUGGUGAGGAUAGUAAUCUUUGGUAUGGAAAAUUUGAGAGCAAAGUCGGCAUUCCCAUAGCCAAGUACCUUCUCCAUUCUGAAGUUGAAGAUGCAAUCGGUACCGACAUGUUUGGGGCUUCGGACAGUGAUGUUCAUAAGAUGGUUCAGCACACUUCCUCUAGACUCAUCCCUUAGAGGAAUCAACGAAGGCUGGAACGCUUUCUUGGUUCUCCCCACUUCUUCACCAGCCUGUCGAUUCUUUGGUAACUUUGAACUCAUUCAACAUGAAGCAGUGAUCACCCACGACUUACACAGUGACCCAUAUCGACUACCAUGGUCCACCUUCUUCCCCUGAUUGAAGCGUUUAUUUUUUGCAUCCGUCAAGGAGGAAAUCAAGGAGGAAAUCCAAGUCUAAAUCUGGGGUAAUAUUAAGCAUCCAAGAAGCGCGUUGUAAUUUUUGAAGAUGAUGAAUAACUAAGCAAAUCAGCAUUUCUGCCUUACGCACAUGGAAUAAGAACUUUAGUUUUUCAAGUGGUGGUGAUUUUUAUCAUCUUUGGUUUUCUACAUUUAGUUGUGUUAUGUUUUCUUUAUUCCCGUUCCUUUUGCAUUUUGGUUAUGUCAGUUAUCAGGGUCCGCCCGUCCUCAUACGUUUGGAUGUGGAUUGUAUUUGAAAUGAUUGUAUAAAUUUAAAGACACUCCAAGCCCUGAGCAAA